CACACACACACACACACACACACAAGCUCACUCACUAGCAGGCACCCACGCACACAAGUUCAAUCACUAGCAGGCACACAUACACACACACAGAAUCUCCCUCGCUAGCAGAUGCACACACACACACACAAACUCACUCACUAGCAGAUGCACACAUACACACACAGAAGCUCACUCACUCACUAGCAGACACACACACACUCACUAGCAGAUGCACACACAUACACACACACAGAAGCUCACUAACUCACUAGCAGAUGCAAACACAUGC